rnacentral:tRNA from 1 species
CACUAAGAAGCUAAACCGGAACCAGCGUUAGCCUUUUAAGCUAGAGAUUGGCGGCUACCAACCGCCCUUAGUGC